UCUGCCAAAUACUCUUUGUCAAAUAACAGUUCCAAUAAAUCUAUUUUCUGUUUGAGUUAUUAAAUAAAAUAUGAAUUUGAUUACAAGCAGUCAAGCAGUUGAUCGAUAGUACUUCAAGACUGUUUACCACUUUACCCUCAUGGUGGAUGUUAGGUUUGGGAAGUUGUGACUCUGGGAGGUCGUUUAGACAGUGUUUAGGGGUUUGGAGUAUCAAAUUUAUGGUUUUGAAAUUUGAAUGCUGGUUGAAUUUGGCAUUCAGUGGUUAUGGUGUUCAAAUUAGUCAAAUAGGAGGUCAACAACUAUCUCUAAUUUAGAAACUAUUAGUUUCUCUUGUUUGGACAAGAAAGAAAAUGUAAGGGAAAGAUUAUAGAAAUUGGGGAAGAAAAUAAUCCUUUAUCGUAUCAAACAUAUUUUUCUCUAACAAAAUGGGAGGAAAAUGAUGAAAAAAUUAGCCCUCUAUUUCUCAGUGGACAUGACGUAUGGAACUCCUUUCUUCCUCUCUCUCUCUCUCUCUCUCUCUCUAUCUAUCUCUCUCUCUCUCUCUCUCUCUCUCUUAAUUUCCUUCCUAUCUAACCAACUUGCCCACCCCUCCCUACCCCAAACUUUCUCCCCAUCCUAAUUCCUAACACAGCACAAAUGUUGAAAUGGGGUGAUAUGAUAUCAUCAGUUGCAUGGUGGUAAUACACAGGUGCUUUAUUUGGGACUGAUUGCCCUAUUAUUGUGGCAGACCUUAUACUGAUAUUGGUGGGGCCAUGCAAACUUACACAGUCAUAGAAGAGGAGAGAAAUAGAGCAAGUAAUCUUUUAGCUAGUGGCCGAGCCAGGAUUUAGCUGUUGAUGGGCAAGUGUGAUGGUGGUGAAGUGAAGUUUAGGUUGAGUCAAGUUUUGACACAUCUAAUUUUCGAAUUGUAUAGAUGUUGGAAUUGGGUCUAGUUGGUUUUUAUUGAAUUUAAGUAUGAACCUUAAAAAUGGACUGGAUUGACUCAUUUCUCUUUGGGCUCAAAUUAGUUAAUAAAAAAUCAUAUUAUUCUAAAA